rnacentral:rRNA from 1 species
UACGGGGGGGGCAAGCGUUGUUCGGAAUUACUGGGCGUAAAGAGCGCGCAGGCGGUCGUUCAAGUCGAGUGUGAAAGCCCCCGGCUCAACUGGGGAGGGUCAUUCGAUACUGAUCGACUGGAAGGCAGGAGAGGGAAGCGGAAUUCCCGGUGUAGUGGUGAAAUGCGUAGAUAUCGGGAGGAACACCGGUGGCGAAGGCGGUUCUCUGGGCCUGUACUGACGCUGAGGAGCGAAAGCGUGGGGAGCGAACAGG